rnacentral:lncRNA from 1 species
AACUAAGCACUCACAGCUUCUGUCCUUUCAUUUGUGCUAACAAUAUUGAUGUCUACCUUGUAGGAUGACUGAGAUGCCAAAGGAGAUACUCUCACAAAGACUUUCUCUAAGCUGUUACCAUCCUCCCAACCAUCUAGAGAGAACUUUGGAAAGAAUAAGCCUGCUCGCUCAACAGAAGACUUAGGAAGGCUGAGCAAUGUUCCUGAAGCCACCUGGCUUGGCCAGUGCAAGAACAGUUUGAGCGAAUACUGACUCUUCCACCCCAACACCAUUUGCUCUGCCAAAAUUUGCUCUGGUCCAAAAUUUCAAGCUUGUGCCAAGAUGUUGAGUUGGCAUGGAGAAGUCAGAUGUCGAGAUAGUGGAGAUGCAGAAUUAAACUGGACUGGACCCUUAAGUCGCCGAUUGAAAGGCACCUGCCCUGGAGAACCAUCUGUUCAUCAGUGAAGUUGCUGAGAGAAAGAACUAGGUGUCUACAAGAUUGGGCUGGGCACAUUCUGCAGGUUACUACUCAAAGGAGCCUGGACAC